CUCCAGGAGGAGGAAAAGCGGAGGUGCCAGGAGCAGCUGCGACGGAAGAAGAGGAGCGUCUGUGGAAGGUGGCUGAGGCCCGGAGAAUCAUGAAGCAGGAGAAGCAGCAGCUGGCCCUUGAGAGGGAGCCCGAGAAGCUGCAGGAAAAGUGGGAGCUGCAAGAGAAGAAGAGAUUACUGUGGCAAUUGGAGAAGAGGGAGAAGGUGAGGCACUGGGUGCAGAUGGCCCUUGGUCUCCUCAUCUGUGCACUGAUGGGUCCUUGGGCGUGGCUACAGCCGUCCCCCUUCUCUCCAUGGCCCAUUCUGAGGCUGCUGCCCCUGGUCUCUUGGGCUUUUUCUGGGAACCGGGCACAGGGUGGGGGGCAGCGCCUUAGGUGGGUUUCCAGGACUCACUCGUGUGCUGCAUUGGCCCCAGGAGGAGUGUCACCGUCAACAGCAAGAGCCAAAGAAGCUGCAGGAGGAGCAGGAGAAGGCCAAGGACGCUGCAGCUGCUGCCUGGUCAGCGGAAGGUCAAGGCCAAAAGCUCCCUGCCUCUCAGAAGUGUCGUCGAAGGUUUAG
rnacentral:lncRNA from 1 species